GACAGCCAGCAUAAGACGAGGCAAGGCAGUCAGACAGACCUGUUUUCUCUCCAGCUGCUUCCUUCCUUCACAAGAAAAAUCACAGAAAUCUCUGCUUCUGAAGUUUCAGAUAUUUCUUCACUUAAGAGAUUUCUUUUGUGCAAUUUUUCCUGGAAAACGGCCUCCAGCUCUGGGGAGAAGACACCCCUUCCCUCUGGGGAGGGCGCGCGGCCACUCCUGAUGAAGUGACAACAGGACAACCACUGGAAUCCAUGUGAAUGACAGGAACAGUCAUUUUCAAAAAUGCACAAGGACAGUAUUAGGCCAAGGCCCCAUCUACCACGGGUCUAUGCAGAUGCCUGUCCACAAUUUUCGAAGCUCCUAAAGAUUAGAAAUGGCCAUAAUCACAUCUGACUCUACUCUAUCUUCUAUUCUUCACCUAUUGUUUUACACUUGUUCCUAUUGUAUUCUGCAUUUUCAUACUGAUUCAAUAAAAAUGGGUUAGAUAACCAGUUUAUUUGCUUAUGGCUCAUAUUACCACCCUGGAGGAGGCGCAUCUGGGCAGUCUGUGUCUCAGCUAAGGUCACUUCUGCACCUGCAGUCAGUGGGCAGCUCAGCUGGGACUGACUCACGUGUCUGUUGCUUGGCGCUGCCUCUAGGUGGAUCCCCAUCUCCUCAGCAAGCUAGCCUGGCCUUCUUCAUACGGCGGAGGAAGAG